UACAGAGGUCUCAAGCGUUGUUCGGAUUCAUUGGGCGUAAAGGGUGCGUAGGCGGCGCGGUAAGUCGGGUGUGAAAUUUCGGAGCUUAACUCCGAAACUGCAUUCGAUACUGCGGUGCUUGAGGACCGGAGAGGAGACUGGAAUUCAUGGUGUAGCAGUGAAAUGCGUAGAGAUCAUGAGGAAGACCAGUGGCGAAGGCGGGUCUCUGGACAGUUCCUGACACUGAGACACGAAGGCCAGGGGAGCAAACGGG
rnacentral:rRNA from 1 species